rnacentral:pre_miRNA from 1 species
GUGCAGGCUGAAGACAGUUGUAGGCAGCUCUCCUCUGGCAGGCGGUCAUCGUCGUCGUCAUCGACGGCUGGUUCUGUGUUCAUCCGGAUCCAUCGUGCAGCCGUGCAUGCAUGCAGUAAUAUUCGGUUACAUGCAUGCAUUAUGCACGCACGUACGUCGUCGUCCUGCCAAAGGAGAGUUGCCCUGCGACUGUCUCCAGCUUCCU